UUACAGAUGUCUUCGCUACAUCUCAGAGUGAGAGUAGCUUGAUUUACCACGACAAUACAGAUGUCCUACCAACAUCUCAGAACAAUGGAAACCGUAGUGAAGAAUUCCCCAAAGUCAAGACUGACAGACUCUAAGGCCCAUCACAAAGACAACCUCCCUACCUAUCUGUACAUUCAGGGCUAUGAUGCAGAUGAUGUCUUCCCCACAACAGAGACGGGGAACAGUUACUCUGACGUCGUCAAAACCCUGGCACAGGCCGACAGAUAUGAUGACCCCAAUGACUUUCAAGUCACUGUUUCUAACUCAGGACUAGACGAUGGCAAAGACGUUGAUGAUCAAGGCUCCACUGCCUCCAAUAUGAACCAAACUGAGUACUAAACUAACUUCAUGCUCUUAGGCAAAGAUAAAGAAGGUCAAUCAAUUUACACACAUUUGUUAAAAAAAAAAAAAAAAAUGGGGGCCAAAUGUUGACUGUUUGCAUAUUGCUGAUCCUUGUGUCUUUUUUUUCUUCAUCAGUUAUUGUUUAUAAUACACAGAGCCUACUAGAGCUGCUGCACGAUCCACCACAUCUAACAUGGGAAGCAUGACUGUAAAUGCUGCUUUGACUAGGAAUAAGGUGAGGUAUUGUAAAACAUUUAGCUGCAUUGUCAUAAAAUGCCACAUGCAUAAGAAGUCCGUGGAGGAUGUGUUUGAGGAGGGCAUGGACUUCUGUGAGCUCAAGAAAUCCUCGAGCCAGGUCACCUGGAAUACAUACAGUGCCUUCAGAAAGUAUUCAGAUCCCUUGCCUUUUUCCACAUUUUGUUACAUUAAAACAUUUUCCUCAGCAAUCUACACACAAUGGUGGUGUGGAGUGCUGGAAGCUCCAGAGACUGCAGACAGAGUACGAAGUGCUCUCCCUUUAACUCGUACCAAUGCCACCAGGAGUGCUGUGAGACCUGGUCUAUCUCCUGUCUCAGACUUGACGGUUCUCUCAACAUGCCUGUCUACUCUGCCUGCUUUGGCCUGGAGAGUCUCUCCCUCCUGGCCUUGAGUGUAACUCUACUGGGCAGUCUACUUGUUAAUCUACUAACCUUCCUGUUACAUUAGAAUCACUUUCCAAUACAGAUGGUUUAGUAUAGAUUGACUUUACAACUAAAUGCAUGUUUCAGGUUUGUCAGAUCCACUGCUUGAUUGUCAUUAGUGCUUUCUAGUUUUCUUGAUCUGUGAAUAUUAUGUAUUGCGAAAAUAAACAUGUUUUUCCCAGCUUUAUGGGGGAAGGGGGGCUCAUGGGUUUGAGUGGGCUGUUCUUCUGUGGGGGUUACUG